GUCUAAAUAGUUUAAUUUAAAAUGCUGAUUUGUGGUGUCGGUGAUGUGAGGUUGGUUGCUUUGGACU
rnacentral:tRNA from 1 species